GACAGAAUGGAGAGCACCUUGCUCUGUUUGCUACUAGUGCUGAAUACACAAAUCUACUCUGGACACUCUGAAGAUGAUGAUGGACAGGCAAAGGCUGAUCUGACCAUACACCCCAAAUCCUCACAGAUAUUCAGUGGAGAGUCUGUUACUCUCAGAUGUAACAUACAGAGAGGAGAAGUCACUGACUGGAAAUACAUAUGGCGCAAGGAUGUUGUAGACUUCCUCAGUAAGAAGCAUGAAUAUGAGAUCAGUGAGGUUAAGAUGUCAGACAGUGGUGACUACUGGUGUCACGGUACACAUAUUUAUCAGAAGAAGCAUUCUAAGUGGAGUGAUGCAGUCAGACUGACGGUGACAGGUAAGUCAUCUUAUCUCUCAUUCACAUCAGUGCCUCCAUGCCCAUAACCACUUGACAUUUGGCCCCAUUUUAAGGAUGCUAUUUUGUCAUUAAAAAAAUGUCAGCCUACCAUU